UUCAUAUCUCACUUGCUUUUCCUGUAGAUCAUAAGGGGUUGCGCUAUAAGUGACGUGCGCUUUUCAUUCAAGACCCCACACGCUUUAUAACUUGAACUGUGUGUGCUUAAAUGACCAGGCUAUGGCAAAAUAUCGCAUUUGAAUUGUGGGGACCCCGACUCAUAAGUCGUGAUCACCUAAUGUACGUGCACAAUGAUCCCAGAGAUCAAUGC
rnacentral:lncRNA from 1 species